rnacentral:lncRNA from 1 species
UUUUAUUCUCAGGUAUCUUAAGAUGAACUCUCUGCAGAUUUUAUUUAUAUUUUUAUUUUUUUGAGACGGAGUCUUGCUCUGUCACUCAGGCUGGAGUGAAGUGGUAUGAUCUCAGCUCACUGCAACCGCUUCCUGGGUUCAAGUGAUUCUCCUGCCUAGGCCUCCCGAGUAGCUGGGAUUACAGGCGCACGCUGCCACGCCCAGCUCAUUUUUGUAUUUUUUAGUAGAGACGGGGUUUCACCAUGUCAGGCUGGUCUCAAACUCCUGACCUCAGGUGAUCCACCCGCCUCGGCCUCCCAAAGUGCUGGGAUUACAGGCAUAAGCCAUCACACCAGGCCUCUCUGCAGAUUUUAAAUGCUAAUCCAGGUGUUCAAAGAUGAGAAGAAUGAACACUAAUGGGAGUAUGAUGGCCAGAAGAAUGUCUGGCCUUCAAAUAUAGACAGACAGUCCUUGACUUACAAUUUUUUGCCUUGAGUAUAGUGUGAAAGUGAUAAAUAUUUAGUAGAAAAUGUACUUCAAAUUUUAAAUUUUGAGAUUUUCCUGGGCUAGCAAUAUGCAGUAAAAUACUCUUACAUGAGAUAAAAAUAGGCUUUGUGUUAGAUGAUUUUGCCCAACUGUAGGCUAAUCUAAGUAUUCUGAGAAAGUAUAAGGAAGGCUAGGCUGUUAUGAUGUCCUGUAGGUCAGAUGUAUUAAAUGCAUUUUUUUUUUUUUGAGAUGGAGUCUUGCUCUGUCGCUUAGGCUGCAGUGCAGUGGUGCGAUCACAGCUUACUGCAACCUCCGCCUGCCAGGUUCAAGCGAUUCUCCUGCCUCAGCCUCCCGAGUAGCUGGGAUUACAGAGGUCCACCACCACGCCCCGAAUUUUUGUGUUUUCAGUAGAGACGGGGUUUCACCAUGUUGGCCAGGCUGUUACGAACUCCUGACCUCAAAUGAUCUGCUCGCCUCGGCCUCCCAAAGUGCUCAGAUUAUAAGUGUGAGCCACCGUGCCUGGCCUUAAAUGCAUUUUUGACUUAACAAUAUUUUCAAUUUAUCUCAGGUUUAUUGGAACUAACCCCAUCAUUAAGUUGAAGAGCAUAUGUGUGAGUAUGUACAUGUACAUGUAUGUGUGUGUAUUGUGUGUAUGUGUAUGUGUGUGUACAUGUGUGUAUGUAUGUGUGUGUGUGUGUAUGUAUGUGUAUGUGUGUAUAUAUAUAUAUCAGACAAAAGAAAUAGUUUGAUCAAAGCAGAGCUUUUUUGACCUGAAGAUCUUUUUGGCUUCAAUCCUUAAAAAAAAAAAAAUCAAAUAAUAAUAUAAUAUAGACACUGUACACAUGAAUGUAUAGCUUACUAGAUUUGCUUUUUCUUUUUUUUGAGACAGGGUCUCAUUCUGUCACCCAGGCUGGAUUGCAGUGGCACGAUCACAGCUUACUGCAGCCUCGACCUCCCCAAGCUCAAGUGAUCCUCCCACCUCAGCUUCCUGAGUAGCUGGGAAUACAGGUGUGUGCCACCACAUCCAGCUAAUUUUUGUACUUUUUGUAGAUAUGGGGUUUCACCACGUUGUUUGCCCAGGCUGGUCUCGAACUCCUGGCCUCAGGCAAUCUGCCCGCCUCAGCCUCCCAAAGUGCUAGGAUUACAGGCAUGAGCCACCAUGCCUAGCUGCUUGCUGAAUUUUCAAAUACUGAAUAAAUUCAUGUAACCGGUACUCAGAUCCAGGACAGACACAGAAACCAGCUGGUAGAAAAGCCUUAAAUGAUAGGCAAAAAAAUAGCUUUACCAUUCAUGCAUAUAAUCAUGUAGUAAAUAUUGUAUGAAUGUCUAGGAGGCUCAAAGUCUAAACGGGUCUUUCUAAAAUUCCUGAACACUAUCUAGUGUUAUCAAGAGUGUCACAGGGAGGAAAUAAGAUGAACGGACAG